rnacentral:snoRNA from 1 species
CUUACACAUGUCUUUGGCCCCUGAGAACUUUCUGCAAUCAUGAAUAUAUAUAAUGAACGCACCAUAAGAAAAAAGUAGCUACUGAUGGGAUUUGAAAUAUUAGUGGGGUUUCCUUAGUGGGGUUUCCUCCCCACCUUAAGGCCAGACCAACAGCACUACUGGCUUUGCCUUUGUGUCUGUUGCUGCCCCCGGGACCUGGCAAUAGCGGAGGCCUACAGGGGUUCCUAGAAGAGGGCAGGCAUGAGCCACCUGAGCACAACUUUAGGUCUGAUG